rnacentral:rRNA from 1 species
GGCGGCGUGCCUAAUACAUGCAAGUCGAGCGAACGGACGAGAAGCUUGCUUCUCUGAUGUUAGCGGCGGACGGGUGAGUAACACGUGGAUAACCUACCUAUAAGACUGGGAUAACUUCGGGAAACCGGAGCUAAUACCGGAUAAUAUUUUGAACCGCAUGGUUCAAAAGUGAAAGACGGUCUUGCUGUCACUUAUAGAUGGAUCCGCGCUGCAUUAGCUAGUUGGUAAGGUAACGGCUUACCAAGGCAACGAUGCAUAGCCGACCUGAGAGGGUGAUCGGCCACACUGGAACUGAGACACGGUCCAGACUCCUACGGGAGGCAGCAGUAGGGGAUCUUCCGCAAUGGGCGAAAGCCUGACGGAGCAACGCCGCGUGAGUGAUGAAGGUCUUCGGAUCGUAAAACUCUGUUAUUAGGGAAGAACAUAUGUGUAAGUAACUGUGCACAUCUUGACGGUACCUAAUCAGAAAGCCACGGCUAACUACGUGCCAGCAGCCGCGGUAAUACGUAGGUGGCAAGCGUUAUCCGGAAUUAUUGGGCGUAAAGCGCGCGUAGGCGGUUUUUUAAGUCUGAUGUGAAAGCCCACGGCUCAACCGUGGAGGGUCAUUGGAAACUGGAAAACUUGAGUGCAGAAGAGGAAAGUGGAAUUCCAUGUGUAGCGGUGAAAUGCGCAGAGAUAUGGAGGAACACCAGUGGCGAAGGCGACUUUCUGGUCUGUAACU